CGCAUAUGGUCUUCGGAUUAAAGCCUUCGGGCGCUUUGGGAACGGCCUGCGUAAGAUUAGAUAGUUGGUGGGGUAAUGGCCUACCAAGUCGACGAUCUUUAACUGGUUUGAGAGGAUGAUCAGUCAGACUGGAACUGAGACACGGUCCAGACUCCUACGGGAGGCAGCAGUGAGGAAUCUUCCACAAUGGGCGAAAGCCUGAUGGAGCAACGCCGCGUGCAGGAUGAAGGCCUUCGGGUUGUAAACUGCUUUUAUAAGUGAUGAUUAUGACAGUAACUUAUGAAUAAGGAUCGGCUAACUACGUGCCAGCAGCCGCGGUCAUACGUAGGAUCCGAGCGUUAUCCGGAGUGACUGGGCGUAAAGAGUUGCGUAGGUGGUUCGAUAAGCGAAUAGUGAAAUCUGGUGGCUCAACCAUUCAGACUAUUAUUCGAACUGUUGAACUCGAGAGCAGAAGAGGUAGCUGGAAUUUCUAGUGUAGGAGUGAAAUCCGUAGAUAUUAGAAGGAACACCGAUGGCGUAGGCAGGCUACUGGGCUGUUUCUGACACUGAGGCACGAAAGCGUGGGGAGCGAACCGGAUUAGAUACCCGGGUAGUCCACGCCGUAAACGAUGGAUACUAGCUGUUUGGGGUAUCGACCCCCUGAGUAGCGAAGCUAACGCGUUAAGUAUCCCGCCUGUGGAGUACGAUCGCAAGAUUAAAACAUAAAGGAAUUGACGGGGACCCGCACAAGCGGUGGAUUAUGUUCUUUAAUUCGAUGAUAACCGAAGAACCUUACCAGGGCUUGACAUCCAGGGAAGGUCUGCGAAAGUAGACUGUGCCUUUUGGAACCCUGUGACAGGUGAUGCAUGGCCGUCGUCAGCUCGUGUCGUGAGAUGUUAGGUUAAGUCCUUCAACGAGCGCAACCCUUGUGAAUAGUUGUAUUUUUCUAU
rnacentral:rRNA from 1 species